rnacentral:rRNA from 1 species
UACGAGAGGAGCGAGUGUUAUACGUUCAAACUGGGCGUAAAGGGUUCUUAGGUGAAAAAGAGAGUGAGAAAAAGCUAGGUUUGUGAGUAAUCCAAAUCCAUUUUUUUAACUUCUUUUUGAGAAUUUAAAAGGUGUAAAAGGUAUAUCUUGACGAGUGUUAGAAUGCAUAGACGCAAGAUAGACGGCCAUGGGCGAAGGCAUUUUACAAGUUUAGAUUGCCACUUUGGAACGAAAGCGUGGGGAGCGAACGGG